AUUGAACGCUGGCGGCAGGCCUAACACUUGCAAUUCGAGCGGAUGAAGGGAGCUUGCUCCUGGAUUCAGCGGCGGACGGGUGAGUAAUGCCUAGGAAUCUGCCUGGUAGUGGGGGAUAACUUCCGGAAACGGGCGCUAAUACCGCAUACGUCCUGUGUGAGAAAGUGGGGGAUCUUCGUACCUCACGCUAUCAGAUGAGCCUAGGUCGGAUUAGCUAGUUGGUGGGGUAAAGGCCUACCAAGGCGACGAUCCGUAACUGGUCUGAGAGGAUGAUCAGUCACACUGGAACUGAGAAACGGUCCAGACUCCUAAGGGAGGCAGCAGUGGGGAAUAUUGGACAAUGGGCGAAAGCCUGAUCCAGCCAUGCCGCGUGUGUGAAGAAGGUCUUCGGAUUGUAAAGCAAUUUAAGUUGGGAGGAAGGGCAGUAAGUUAAUACCUUGCUGUUUUGACGUUACCAACAGAAUAAGCACCGGCUAACUUCGUG
rnacentral:rRNA from 1 species